AACGAACGCUGGCGGCAUGCCUAAUACAUGCAAGUCGAACGAGAUCUUCGGAUCUAGUGGCGCACGGGUACGUAACGCGUGGGAAUCUGCCCUUGGGUUCGGAAUAACUUCUGGAAACGGAAGCUAAUACCGGAUGAUGACGUAAGUCCAAAGAUUUAUCGCCCAAGGAUGAGCCCGCGUAGGAUUAGCUAGUUGGUGGGGUAAAGGCCCACCAAGGCGACGAUCCUUAGCUGGUCUGAGAGGAUGAUCAGCCACACUGGGACUGAGACACGGCCCAGACUCCUACGGGAGGCAGCAGUAGGGAAUAUUGGACAAUGGGCGAAAGCCUGAUCCAGCAAUGCCGCGUGAGUGAUGAAGGCCUUAGGGUUGUAAAGCUCUUUUACCCGGGAUGAUAAUGACAGUACCGGGAGAAUAAGCUCCGGCUAACUCCGUGCCAGCAGCCGCCGUAAUAC
rnacentral:rRNA from 1 species